rnacentral:rRNA from 1 species
GUAGUCUGCAACUCGACUACACGAAGCUGGAAUCGCUAGUAAUCGCGAAUCAGAAUGUCGCGGUGAAUACGUUCCCGGGUCUUGUACACACCGCCCGUCACACCAUGGGAGUUGGGAAUGCCCGAAGUCAGUGACCCAACCGCAAGGAGGGAGCUGCCGAAGGCAGGCUCGAUAACUGGGGUGAAGUCGUAACAAGGUAUC